rnacentral:rRNA from 1 species
AUACGGGGGGUGCAAGCGUUAUCCGGAAUCAUUGGGUUUAAAGGGUCCGUAGGCGGGCUAAUAAGUCAGGGGUGAAAUCCCACAGCUUAACUGUGGAACUGCCCUUGAUACUGUUGGUCUUGAGUUACAGUGAAGUGGUUAGAAUGUGUAGUGUAGCGGUGAAAUGCAUAGAGAUUACACAGAAUACCGAUUGCGAAGGCAGAUCACUAACUGUAUACUGACGCUAAUGGACGAAAGCGUGGGGAGCGAACAGGAUUAGAAACCCCGGUAGUCC